CAGGCUUGGGAAGAGUAAAGCUGGACCUGAGACCUACUAGCUCCACGUCUUCAUGUCUGACAUGGAAUUCCAAGGAGCCUGUGAAUUUUAAUCUGAAUAUGGGCUUCCAGGUCAUUAUGAAGAUCUAGCCACUUACCACGAGGUGGCAAUAGCAACCUGCACAACGAAUGCCAAGCUCCAAGCAAGGUGUGGAUUCUCCACUGAUUUCCUGGGCCGAAGAAUUUUCCUAUGUUUUAGAAAUAUUGUGAUGAAGUUUCAUUUUUAUGUGAUGAAAAUGUUUUAAAAUUGAUUGUCGUGAUGGUUGCACAACUCUGUGAACGGACUAGGAGCCAUUGGAUUGUACACUUUAAAU
rnacentral:lncRNA from 10 species